rnacentral:ncRNA from 1 species
UGGAUUGAUGAAUAAAGCGAUGUGAAAGAUGUAGACGCAGUUCUUAAAAAUAUUUAUUUUUUACUUGUGAAUCGUUUGAGUUAAAUAACAAAAAUUCAUUUAAUUCAUAAUCUGUCUAAUAAAAACUACUCAAUAUUUUCAUAGAAUGAAGUUAUGUAUUUGUUUUAUUAUUUCUUUCAUAUUUUGUAGGGCUUUUAUUAGUCCAAAAGCAAUCGCACCUAGUGUCCGUACUAUGUGGUGACUCUGUAUAACUUUGGGCUGAUCGCACGGACUUGUCCCGGCAACGUAGCUUUCAAGUAUAUAUCUUAUAUACUGUCGAUGGUAUUUUACGCGCCUACUAUGGCAGUAACGGGGAAUCAGGGUUUGAUUCUGGAGAGGGAGCAUGAGAAACGGCUACCACAUCCAAGGAAGGCAGCAUGCGUGCAAAUUACAUACUCCCAGAACGGCGAGGUAGAGACGAAAAAUAACAAUACGGGUCUCUUUUGAGACCCCGUAAUUUGGAAUGAGUACACUCUAAAUCCUUUAACUAGGAUCAAUUGGAGGGUAAGUCUGGUGCCAGCAGCCGCGAUAAUUCCAGCUGCAAUA